UCUGAGUCUGCCCGCUCUCCCGCUGAGAGCAUUCUAUCCCUUCAUAAACCUUCAUCCUACAUCCUUGGCCUCCGUGUCUCCUCUCUGAAUUCUUUCCACAAGUGUCAAUGAGACCUGUAACUCAUGUUCACCAUAGAAAGUGCAGGAGGGAAGGGACUGAACAGACGCAGUUAUAGUCCCCAAGCAAUUGAGUUUACGUGACGCAAAAGGGAGCUGUCCUUUGUGGCCCCACGGGUCCUCCGAAGUCGCCCAGCAGCGCAGGCUCUCUGCUGGCCUGGAGCUGCCGGGAGAUGGGCUCUGUGGCUUUUUCCACUUAGCAUUCUGUUGUGAGAUUCCUAAGCUGCUGGGUGUGGCAGUAGAGGAUUCUUUUUCAUUUCCAUGUGGUGUUCUAUCAGGUGACUAUGCCAACAUUUCUGUGUCUGUUCUGCUGUUAAUGGGUGUUAAUCAUGCUUGUUUACAGGUUUGACGCCCAUGGCUGAUACAGGUGGGAACAUUCGCGGGCAUUUAUCUUGGGAACGUAUUUCUCUUGAACUUUCUGAGGACUUCAAGCCUGGGAGGCAGCCUCUCAGAAGAGCUCUGAGGGACGGCUCGGAAGAGGGCUGAUGUAUGUAUGUAUGUAUUUUCGGCCUCACACACAGCAUGCGGAAUCUUAAUUCCCUGACCAGGGAUCAAACGUGUGCCCUCUACAAUGGAAGCCAGAGUCCUAACCACUGGACCACCAGGGAAUUUCCAAAAGAUUAUUGUCAAUUAAAGAAAACCAGGGAACCGCUGACUGAAACUGCCCGCCGCGGCCAGGCAUGACAGUAACUGCUUGCGUGAGUUGUCUCACAAAGGGAGGUGCCAACAAGGAAGACGGUGCUGCCACAGAACCCAAACCAGGACAAUUCGGGAGGGGCCAAAAGGAGGGAGGAGACGCCAGCCCAUAAUAUGUCCUGCCGGCCUCCCAGAAACCCUCCGACUGGGAUCCAUCUCGACUCAGAGAUGCGCGCACCGCCAGGAGGGGCCCCGAGCCAGACCAGACAUGGGCACGAGGAGGGUGACUGGCCAGAGACGGCCCGGAAACUAGCCCCGUCGCCACACAACCCGAGAGCGCGAGCCCCGCGGCGGGGCGCUCCUCCUGGGCUCCCUCGCCCUCCACCCUCCGCCCGGGCACCCCUUCCCAAUACAGUCUCUUGCUUUUGUCAGCACGUGUGUCUCCUCAGACAAUUCAUCUCCACGUGUUAGACAAGAGCCCCCUCCCGGGCCCUGGAAGGGGUCCCCUUUCCUACAACACUAUCAUUUACUUAAAGGAUUUGUAUGAAAAUAUUUUUGUCAUUGCCAAUUUGCCUCAACUUUCAUUUCUGCCAUAUUUUGCUGAAACAUUUCAAAGCUGUUACUAGAUGUGUAUAAAGGUAGGAUUGACAUAUCUUUGUAUUAUGUUGACCAUUUUAUCACUAUGAAAUACCUUUUAGUCAUAUUUCUUGCCUUAAAGUAUACUUUUAUGGCAUUAAUUGGGUGAAACAAGAUUUCUUUGGAUUACUGUCAGCAUGGUG